rnacentral:rRNA from 1 species
UGCAAGUCGAGCGGUAACAGAAAAGAAGCUUGCUUCUUUUGCUGACGAGCGGCGGACGGGUGAGUAAUGCCUGGGAAUAUACCCUGAUGUGGGGGAUAACUAUUGGAAACGAUAGCUAAUACCGCAUAAUCUCUUCGGAGCAAAGAGGGGGACCUUCGGGCCUCUCGCGUCAGGAUUAGCCCAGGUGGGAUUAGCUAGUUGGUGGGGUAAUGGCUCACCAAGGCGACGAUCCCUAGCUGGUCUGAGAGGAUGAUCAGCCACACUGGAACUGAGACACGGUCCAGACUCCUACGGGAGGCAGCAGUGGGGAAUAUUGCACAAUGGGGGAAACCCUGAUGCAGCCAUGCCGCGUGUAUGAAGAAGGCCUUCGGGUUGUAAAGUACUUUCAGUUGUGAGGAAGGCAGUUAAGUUAAUAGCUUGGCUGUUUGACGUUAGCAACAGAAGAAGCACCGGCUAACUCCGUGCCAGCAGCCGCGGUAAUACGGAGGGUGCGAGCGUUAAUCGGAAUUACUGGGCGUAAAGCGCAUGCAGGCGGUCUGUUAAGCAAGAUGUGAAAGCCCGGGGCUCAACCUCGGAACAGCAUUUUGAACUGGCAGACUAGAGUCUUGUAGAGGGGGGUAGAAUUUCAGGUGUAGCGGUGAAAUGCGUAGAGAUCUGAAGGAAUACCGGUGGCGAAGGCGGCCCCCUGGACAAAGACUGACGCUCAGAUGCGAAAGCGUGGGGAGCAAACAGGAUUAGAUACCCUGGUAGUCCACGCCGUAAACGAUGUCUACUUGAAGGUUGUGGCCUUGAGCCGUGGCUUUCGGAGCUAACGCGUUAAGUAGACCGCCUGGGGAGUACGGUCGCAAGAUUAAAACUCAAAUGAAUUGACGGGGGCCCGCACAAGCGGUGGAGCAUGUGGUUUAAUUCGAUGCAACGCGAAGAACCUUACCUACUCUUGACAUCCAGAGAAUUCGCUAGAGAUAGCUUAGUGCUUCGGGAACUCUGAGACAGGUGCUGCAUGCUGUCGUCAGCUCGUGUGUGAAAUGUGGGUAAGUCCGCACGAGCGCACCUAUCUGUUGC